rnacentral:misc_RNA from 1 species
UUAAGUUCAGCGGGUAUUCCUACCUGAUCCGAGGUCAACAUUCAGAAGUUGGGGGUUUAACGGCUUGGCCGCGCCGCGUUCCAGUUGCGAGGUGUUAGCUACUACGCAAUGGAGGCUGCAGCGAGACCGCCACUAGAUUUCGGGGCCGGGCUGGAGUACAGCCCGAUCCCCAACACCAAACCCGGGGGCUUGAGGGUUGA